rnacentral:rRNA from 1 species
GACGAAGGAGGGAGGGGUGCUUAACACAUGCAAGUCGAACGGAAAGGCCCUGCUUUUGUGGGGUGCUCGAGUGGCGAACGGGUGAGUAACACGUGAGUAACCUGCCCUUGACUUUGGGAUAACUUCAGGAAACUGGGGCUAAUACCGGAUAGGAGCUCCUGCUGCAUGGUGGGGGUUGGAAAGUUUCGGCGGUUGGGGAUGGACUCGCGGCUUAUCAGCUUGUUGGUGGGGUAGUGGCUUACCAAGGCUUUGACGGGUAGCCGGCCUGAGAGGGUGACCGGCCACAUUGGGACUGAGAUACGGCCCAGACUCCUACGGGAGGCAGCAGUGGGGAAUAUUGCACAAUGGGCGGAAGCCUGAUGCAGCAACGCCGCGUGCGGGAUGACGGCCUUCGGGUUGUAAACCGCUUUCGCCUGUGACGAAGCGUGAGUGACGGUAAUGGGUAAAGAAGCACCGGCUAACUACGUG